rnacentral:rRNA from 1 species
UACGGGGGGGGUAAGCGUUGUUCGGAAUUACUGGGCGUAAAGGGCUCGUAGGCGGCCAACUAAGUCAUACGUGAAAUCCCUCAGCUUAACUGGGGAACUGCGUGUGAUACUGGAUGGCUUGGAUUUGGGAGAGGGAUGUGGAAUUCCAGGUGUAGCGGUGAAAUGCGUAGAUAUCUGGAGGAACACCGGUGGCGAAGGCGGCAUCCUGGACCGACAUUGACGCUGAGGCGCGAAAGCCAGGGGAGCAAACGGG